AACUUUUGGCAAUGGAUCUCUUGGCUCUCCUAUCGAUGAAGAACGCAGCGAAAUGCGAUAAGUAAUGUGAAUUGCAGAAUUCAGUGAAUCAUUGAAUCUUUGAACGCACCUUGCGCCCUUUGGUAUUCUGAAGGGCAUGUCUGUUUGAGUGUCAUUAAAUUAUCAACCUUGCUCGCUUUUACCUGCUUGAGUUAGGCUUGGAUGUGAGGGCUUUUCUGGCUUCCUUUAGUGGAUGGUCUGCUCCCUUUAAAUGCAUUAGUGGGUUCUCUUGUGGACCGUCACUUGGUGUGAUAAUUAUCUAUGCCUUUUGACUUUGAAGCAAACUUAUGGGAACCUGCUUAUAACCGUCUUCGGACAAUCUAUUGACAUUUUGACCUCAAAUCAGGUAGGACUACCAGCUGCACUUAAGGAUAUCAAUAAGAGGAGGCU
rnacentral:misc_RNA from 1 species